UUCAGCUUGCCUCUAAAUGGGCAGGUGGGCCCUACCUCAGGGAGGAUCCAGCAAGAUCAAAGAUAUGGAAAUUCUUUACUGGUGACAUCUGAAUAAUUAGAGAAAAAUCCUAAUGGGAGGAGGACUGUGAGGCAGUGGACCUGGAGUCAAAUCCCCUUUGUGAACAGAGGACCUGGGACAAGUCAUUUGGGACUUGGUAACAUUCUCCCCACUCCUGCUUCAAUGAGUAAGCCAGCAACUCUGCAUCCUCAGGCUCAGACUGCAACAUUACCUUCUCAGGAAUGCCUUCUCUGUCUGCCCGGAGAGACGGUACCCUGUGCUUCUUGCAUCCUCUAUGCCUUGCUCAGUGCCAGCAGGCCAGAGGCAGAAGCCCAAUGUUGGCCGAAGAAGUGGACUUUGAACCAUCCACCCAGAAAUGCAGCCCUGGGUCAAUCCUAUGCUGGACACUGGAUGAGGAAACCGAGGCUCACAGAAUGUGAAUGAUACAUAUUAAUAAAAGCUGCCUAGUAAGGGGCAGAACCAGGACCAA